rnacentral:rRNA from 1 species
CCUACGGGCGGCAGCAGUGAGGAAUAUUGGUCAAUGGGCGGGAGCCUGAACCAGCCAAGUCGCGUGAGGGACGACGGUCCUAUGGAUUGUAAACCUCUUUUGUCGGGGAACAAAGGCGCCCACGGGUGGGCGGAUGAGUGUACCCGUAGAAAAAGCAUCGGCUAACUCCGUGCCAGCAGCCGCGGUAAUACGGAGGAUGCGAGCGUUCUCCGGAUUUAUUGGGUUAAAGGGGUGCGUAGGCGGACAGUCAAGUCAGCGGUAAAAAGGCGGGUCUAAACGCGGUACAGCCGUUGAAACGGGCAGUCUUGAGUGGGCGAGAGGUAUGCGGAAUGCGUGGUGUAGCGGUGAAAUGCGUAGAUAUCACGCAGAACUCCGAUUGCGAAGGCAGCAUACCGGCGCCCGACUGACGCUGAGGCACGAAAGCGUGGGUAUCGAACAGGAUUAGAUACCCCUGUAGUC